rnacentral:rRNA from 1 species
GAUGAACGCUGACAGCAUGCUUAACACAUCAGCAAUUGAUUGGUGGCGGACGGGUGAGUAACGCGUAUAGAACUUGCCCCCCAGGUAGGGACAACAUUUGGAAACGAAUGCUAAUACCUAAUACUGUGAGAGAGCUUUGCGUCCCAUUAGCUAGUUGGAGAGGUUACGGCGCACCCAGGCGAUGAUGGGUAGCCGGCCUGAGAGGGUGAUCGGCCCCAAGGGGACAGGGACACCGCCAUUACUCCUACGGGAGGAAGCAGUGGGGAAGAUGGGACAAUGGACCAAAGUCUGAUCCAGAAAUUCUGUGUGCACGAUGAAGUUUUCGGAAUGUAAAGUGCUUUCAGUUGGGAAGCGGUACCAACAGAAGAAGGGACGGCUAAAUACGUGCCAGCAGCCGCGGUAAUAC